rnacentral:lncRNA from 1 species
AUUUGGCAUGUCAGGUCCUAAUGCACCAGUGAUACAUAAGAAUUCUUUUUUACAUAGCUCUAUAGCUUAUUCCUCUGUCCUUUUUUUUUUUUUUUUUUUGAGACAGAGUCUUGCUCUGUUGCCCAGGCUGGAGUGCAAUGGCGUGAUCUUGGCUCACUGCAACCUCUGCCUCCUAGGUUCAAGUUAUUCUUCUCCCUCAGCUUCCCAAGUAGCUGGAACUACAGGUGUGCACCACCACACCUGGCUCUAGGAGAAUGCAUGACAGGUGCAGGAGGAGAAGGUGGUCCCCGGGGAAUUUUCUUAUUAAUCUUGAACCUGGGAGGCUCCAUUGGAUCUUUUUGCAUUUCUACCAUCCGAAUAACCCUCUGUUUGGCUCCAGAGUUGAAAGCCACUCCUUGCUGAGAUGGUGUGUAUCGGAUAUAUUGAGCAGGAGCCAGUUUGUCAGCUGCCCGAACUGGCAUGGCUGCAGCAACCUUCUGUGAUACAGAUUUUUCUAAGGCUGCUCUUGUCUUUUCUGUUAUCUCUGUAAUAGCUUCUUCAUCGGGCCUUUGCAGGUCUGGGUCAUCUGCAUUCAGAACCUCCUUUGGAACCAGGUCAGACCUUGUCUUUUGACUGUCCUUGUCGAGCGAUUGCAUCAUAUUUAAUUUUUCCUUCAGAAUCCACCUGAAUGGCCAGUGCAUUCAACAUUUUGUUUUCUUUCGUCCCAUAUCCAGUGGAUACUGAACCACAUGGAUCUCUGGGAAAGCACCUCCGUCUCCAAAAUCCUCUAAUAACCGAGGUAUCCAGCCUUUCCGAUAUCCAUACGGGGGAGGCUCUCUUCGGGAGGAGACCAAUGAGGUCUGCCGUGAUCUCUGGGAUCUUGCCUUUUAUUGAGCCUAGAGCUGGUCCUGAGAUAGCCGAGUAGGUGCAGGUAAAAAGCUGGCGACUAUUGGGGGGAAAAUGGGAGGGCCAGCGUGGGGGGCGGGGAGCUGGGGAGGGAUAGCCUGGGGAGAAAUGCCAAAUGUGGGUGAAGGGGAGAAAGGAAGCAAAACACACUGCCAUGUGUGUACCUAUGCAACUGUCUUGCAUGUUCUGCACAGGUACCCCAAAACCUAAAAUGCAAAAAAAAAAA